rnacentral:rRNA from 1 species
AUUGAACGCUGGCGGCAGGCCUAACACAUGCAAGUCGAACGGUAACAGGAAACAGCUUGCUGUUUCGCUGACGAGUGGCGGACGGGUGAGUAAUGUCUGGGAAACUGCCUGAUGGAGGGGGAUAACUACUGGAAACGGUAGCUAAUACCGCAUAACGUCGCAAGACCAAAGAGGGGGACCCUCGGGCCUCUUGCCAUCGGAUGUGCCCAGAUGGGAUUAGCUUGUUGGUGGGGUAACGGCUCACCAAGGCGACGAUCCCUAGCUGGUCUGAGAGGAUGACCAGCCACACUGGAACUGAGACACGGUCCAGACUCCUACGGGAGACAGCAGUGGGGAAUAUUGCACAAUGGGCGCAAGCCUGAUGCAGCCAUGCCGCGUGUAUGAAGAAGGCCUUCGGGUUGUAAAGUACUUUCAGCGGGGAGGAAGGGAGUAAAGUUAAUACCUUUGCUCAUUGACGUUACCCGCAGAAGAAGCACCGGCUAACUCCGUG